CUAUUGCUAUAACCCUUUCCCUCUUUCUAAAUUUGCAAUCAUGUCUUCCUCUCAAAACUUGAAGAUUCCGCUACAAGAAAUAUCAUCGGUGACUAACGGAUUCGCUGAAGCAAACAUCAUUAGAAAGGGUGGAUAUGGUCUAGUGUACCGAGGCCAAUCUGAACAACAUGGGAUGCUAGCCAUAAAGCGGUUGAAUCGUGUGUGCAUAGGAGACAAUGAAUAUGGGAUGGAGGUUACACUGCUUUCAAAAUAUAAACAUGAAAACCUUGCAUCUCUAAUCGGAUUUUGUGAAGAAGAUGGUGAGAAGAUCUUGGUUUACAAAUAUGAAGCAAAUCAAAGUCUUGACAAGUUUUUGCGUAGCAAAGAUUUAUCAUGGAUGCGUCAUCUUCAGAUUUGCCUGAGCGCUGCCCGUGGGUUGAGGUACCUUCAUAAUGAAACCGGAUCUAAACACAGACUUAUUCAUGGCGACAUCAAGAGUUCAAACAUCCUCUUGGACGAGAACUGGAAGGCCAAGAUUUCAGAUUUCGGAUUGUCUAAAAUAGCUCUUAUAGAUUCGGCUAACUCAGUUAUUUUCACUGGUCCUAACGGAACACCCGGAUAUGUUGAUCCACAAAUACUAAACGGUGGUAUCACACAAAAAUCUGAUGUUUAUUCUUUUGGGGUUGUAUUGUAUGAAGUCUUGUUUGGAAAGCUUGUAGCUGUUCCGGGAUAUCUUGGUGAUAGUCCUUUUACCGUCAAAAUGGCCAAAAAACAUUAUCUAAUGGAAACAUUGCAUAUGAUGAUUGAUCCUGAUCUUAGAAAUGAAAUGACCUCCGAUUCCUUGCGUACAUUUUCAACCAUUACCUAUCAAUGCUUGGAGGAAUGCACAGAAGAUCGUCCUACAAUGAGCUUGGUCGUGGAAGCACUAGAGAAAGCUUUAUUUUAUCAACAAGAAUCCAAGUGGGUACUUGUAUGAUGUAUACAUUAGUACUUCUAGAGUUGAAACAAAACACUUUGUUGAUUGUCUAUGUGAUGCUCUUAAACAAGGAGGACUUUCCACAUACAAGGACAACUCGAAACGCCUUUCUGUCAUCAAAGAAUCAAGGUAUUUUCUUAUCAUUUUCUCCAAAAACUUUGGCGCUAAUGAUUGGAACCUGGACGAAGUUGUGGAGAUUAUCGAGUGCGUGAAAAAAAGAGGAAAUUUUGUUACAUCUGUAUAUUGGGACGUACGCCCCUCUGAUGUGAGGGGGCAAACAGGGUAUUUUGGCGAAGCCAUGUCCAAAUAUGAUACACACCCGAGGAUGAAAGUAUGGAAAAGCGCUCUCGUUGAAGCAACUAAAGUACCAUGCUUUAUACAAUCGGACGAUAGGCCCUGCGAAGCGCUUGCCGAACAAGUUGCGGCAAGAAUUACCCUUGAAAGGUUAGAUCAUGAGUUGUAUAAGUAUACAAUUAAUGAGAAGGAAUUUAUAUGAAAAUUUUCAAACCAUUGAUCAGUUAUGGUGACCCUGUCAUAUAUGUCACAUGUUUCUGUUGUGACCGGAUUAUUCAUCAUGUUCUAUAUAAUUCAUAACUGGAGUUUUCAAAAUCGUUAAUGGAGUAAAGAUCAUUUUCUUGUAAGCAAGUGUUUGUAAAUUAUAUACUAUGUAUAACAAGUUGUGUG